GUUAACCAGAGGAAUGAGAAUCAAUUCCCACUUGUCUAUGAGAAUGGGAUUUAAUAAGGAUUGAAAUUUUAUCGACUUGGAAUGAAUAUCCUUCAUUAUCCUAAAUUCCUAAUCCAUUCAAUACAUGCCGGCGAGGAACGGGAGAAGGGUGAGUGGCGAAUUUUGUGGAAUAAAAAUAAAAUUCCACGAAUGAGAUCGGUUUUCUUGAUGCCUCUAUUGGUAGCCCUAGGAGUAGUUGUUGUUGCAGAGAUCGGUUUUCUGGGUCGGCCAAGAACAUCGCUUUCUUUGUUCAACUCCUGGGCCGAGUCGUUCUAUCACUCCAUUCCGGAGAUUUUCAGAAAGGAAACUAUCUCAGUUAAGGGUUUUGAGGAGCUUGCUUGGUAGAUUGCUAUUGGUGUUGAAGAUAUCUGUUGUUUUCGACAUUAUUGGUAACGAGCUUUAAGCUUGCUUGGUAGAUUGCUAUUGGUGUUGAAGAUAUCUAUUGUUUUCGACAUUAUUGGUAACGAGCUUUAAGCUCCCCUCAAGCGCAUGAGCAGUUGGUGUUUUGAUGAGAAACUUUUCUUACAGUCACUUUACAAGGUUUUGGUUUCAGUCUCUGAAAGCAGUUCCAUCAUUCUUUACCUCGUUUCAUACAAAAUUUGCACAAUGCUGUAUUUAAAAUCUCCAUUAAUUUAAGCCCAUUAACAUUCGGUUGGAUAGAGAAAGAGAAGUCCACCAACAUUCGGAUGGAUACAGCCUAUUAGAUACGAGGAUAGAGCAGGGAAUAGGAGAUAUUUUGGACUUAUUUUGUGAUAUUUGUUAAAUUGGGCUUUGAUUGCACUAAAGAAGAAGAUGUACCAACACUUUCUACAAAGAAAAAGAAGGUUCAGUAUUCUAAAGACCACAAAUCUCUAAACCCUAAACUGAUCGAAAACCCAAAUCACUAAACUAAAAAUCAAAUUCACAACAAAAAUCACCCAACCAACAAAAUCCAUAAUCAAAUCUACAACCAAACUCAUCCAAAAAACAAAAUCCAUAAGCAAAAACUUGCUACAGAAAAAUACAGAUUUGUGUUUACCUGAACAGAUGGAGCUUGAAAAAAAUCUAAGCAAGAGUCUGGAUGCAGAGGAGAGAAGAGCUGGAAAGUUCUGGUUUCAAUUGGAAUUGGAGUUUGGUUAAUAACAAUGGGCUGGUCUCAUCGGAUUUCAAGAUUGAUGUUUGAGCAGGCCUUUGAAUUACUCUGUUGCUGAAGUUUUUCUCAGAUAUUUUCAAUGCUGUGGAUGUUUCUGGUUUGAGGGAGAUUGUUGCAGAGAUGCAAGCUUUAAUGGACUUCAAGAUCAAAAUAUUUUAGAGCAGGAUUUUUUAGUUCUGGUUUAUUUUGUUUUUGUUUCUUCUGGUUCACUCUAGUCUAGCUUGGAUUUCCUUUGCUGGUUUGAAAAUGACAUAGUCCAUUACUUGCUUUGUACCGGAGGAUGUCCUCCAUGUUUUGUAAUUGUACUAUUCUGAUUUAUAUAUAAAACAAAAAUCCCAUUCAGGAAAAAAAAGAAAAGAAAUUCAGCAACAAGAAGAAGCUUAUAUUUGUGAUGGAGGAUGACGAAUUGAAACAAAAUUGAAUCAACAAGGAACCAAAUGUUCAGCACAUGACAUUAAGGG